UGGCGACCGUAGCAAGAGUGAACCACCUGAUCCCUUCCCGAACUCAGAAGUGAAACCUCUUAGCGCUGAUGGUAGUGUGGGAUUACCCAUGUGAGAGUAAGUCAUCGCCAGCUC
rnacentral:rRNA from 1 species